rnacentral:rRNA from 1 species
GUGGGGAAUAUUGGACAAUGGGCGCAAGCCUGAUCCAGCAAUGCCGCGUGGGUGAAGAAGGCCUUCGGGUUGUAAAGCCCUUUUGUACGGGAAGAAACACUCCCUCGUGAGGGAGCUUGACGGUACCGUAAGAAUAAGGAUCGGCUAACUCCGUGCCAGCAGCCGCGGUAAUACGGAGGAUCCAAGCGUUAUCCGGAAUCAUUGGGUUUAAAGGGUCCGUAGGCGGUUUAAUAAGUCAGUGGUGAAAGCCCAUCGCUCAACGAUGGAACGGCCAUUGAUACUGUUAGACUUGAAUUACAAGGAAGUAACUAGAAUAUGUAGUGUAGCGGUGAAAUGCUUAGAUAUUACAUGGAAUACCAAUUGCGAAGGCAGGUUACUACUUGUGGAUUGACGCUGAUGGACGAAAGCGUGGGGAGCGAACAGGAUUAGAAACCCUAGUAGUCC